GAAAAGGCUAUUACGAGCCCGAG
rnacentral:snRNA from 1 species